rnacentral:rRNA from 1 species
UACGAAGGGUGCAAACGUUGCUCGGAAUUAUUGGGCGUAAAGCGCACGUAGGCGGCUUUGCAAGUCGGAUGUGAAAUCCCUCGGCUUAACCAAGGAAGUGCAUCCGAAACUGCAGAGCUUGAGUACUUAAGAGGAUCGCGGAAUUCCCGGUGUAGAGGUGAAAUUCGUAGAUAUCGGGAGGAACACCAGUGGCGAAGGCGGCUCACUGGUCCGGUACUGACGCUGAGGUGCGAAAGCGUGGGGAGCAAACAGG